GUCCAGUGUGCUGUUUAUCUCAGGCAAAUGACAGGCAGAAUCUCAGAGAAAGUAAGUGGGUUUUGUACUUAUCUUUACUGUGUGUGUCACACCAGUAUAUGUAUUAUGGAAAAUGGAACUGUCACCAAUAGUAAAGUGGCAAUUUCACUUUAAAGGGACACUAUAGGCACCAAAAUAACUUUAGCUUAAUUAAGAUGUUUUUGUGCAUAGAUUGUGCCUCUGAAGUCUCACUGGUAGAGACCUGAACAAUGAGACUGCAGGGGUAUGAUCUAUACACAAAAGUUCUGGACUGCCAAAGUCAUGUGUGUCGGAGGUGUAAGUUGCCC